rnacentral:rRNA from 1 species
UGGGGAAUAUUGGGCAAUGGGCGCAAGCCUGACCCAGCCAUGCCGCGUGAGUGAUGAAGGCCUUCGGGUCGUAAAGCUCUGUGGGGAGGGACGAACGACCGAGGGAUUAAUACCCCCUCGGAGUGACGGUACCUCCUUAGCAAGCACCGGCUAACUCCGUGCCAGCAGCCGCGGUAAUACGGAGGGUGCAAACGUUGCUCGGAAUCAUUGGGCGUAAAGCGCACGUAGGCGGUCCAUUAAGUCGGGUGUGAAAGCCCACGGCUCAACCGCGGAAGUGCAUUCGAAACUGAAGGGCCUGAGUACGGAAGAGGGUCUCGGAAUUCCCGGUGUAGAGGUGAAAUUUCGUAGAUAUCGGGAGGAACACCAGUGGCGAAGGCGGAGACCUGGGCCGAUACUGACGCUGAGGUGCGAAAAGCGUGGGGAGCAAACA